ACAGGAAACAUUAAGAGACUCACAGGCAUGGUAGGUUUAGAUGAAUAAAAGGAUUUAUCUGGUAAACAGGCAUUUGGUUCGGUACACAGGAAGUCAG